AUUGAACGCUGGCGGCAGGCCUAACAAAUGCAAGUCGAGCGGAUGAAGGGAGCUUGCUCCUGGAUUCAGCGGCGGACGGGUGAGUAAUGCCUAGGAAUCUGCCUGGUAGUGGGGGAUAACGUCCGGAAACGGGCGCUAAUACCGCAUACGUCCUGAGGGAGAAAGUGGGGGAUCUUCGGACCUCACGCUAUCAGAUGAGCCUAGGUCGGAUUAGCUAGUUGGUGGGGUAAAGGCCUACCAAGGCGACGAUCCGUAACUGGUCUGAGAGGAUGAUCAGUCACACUGGAAAUGAGACACGGUCCAGACUCCUACGGGAGGCAGCAGUGAGGAAUAUUGGACAAUGGGCGAAAGCCUGAUCCAGCCAUGCCGCGUGUGUGAAGAAGGUCUUCGGAUUGUAAAGCACUUUAAGUUGGGAGGAAGGGCAGUAAGUUAAUACCUUGCUGUUUUGACGUUACCAACAGAAUAAGCACCGGCUAACUUCGUG
rnacentral:rRNA from 1 species